rnacentral:rRNA from 1 species
UACGGGGGGAGCAAGCGUUGUUCGGAUUUACUGGGCGUAAAGGGCGCGUAGGCGGCCAGCACAAGUCAGUUGUGAAAUCUCCGGGCUUAACCCGGAAAGGUCAACUGAUACUGCUCGGCUAGAGUACGGAAGGGGCAACUGGAAUUCUUGGUGUAGCGGUGAAAUGCGUAGAUAUCAAGAGGAACACCUGCGGCGAAGGCGGGUUGCUGGGCCGACACUGACGCUGAUGCGCGAAAGCGUGGGGAGCAAACGGG